GCCAAAGUUGAGCAGCCCUGCUCUAUACAAUUGGUAGCCGCCAUGAUGUGGACUUCUGAAUCCAGCAACUAGAAUCUCACACACAAACACACUGGGUUGGUUCUUUGGAUCUGAAGGAUUCAAAUCAAGUCAUUUCCUGUAGGAUUGAUCAUUUUGAUUUGAAGUUAAAAAGAUCGCUUUGACAGAAAUUAUAUUAUGGUUUCUCACAGGAAGUUAUUAUAAAGAUGUGUUUUGAGCAGGCUGAGAGAGCACGUAGACAACAGGUGAUGGAUAUCGAAGGUCAAUCAGAUUAAGCUUGCCUUCCAAGAGAUGUAUUCCUGAGCAACCAAUUUCCUAUUUUAAGGCCAGCGAGCUAUUUGAAUCGGAUAACGGUGUCAAAAUUUAGAAGAGCUUUGACCCUUGCCCAUUUUAAUGCCCUUCCUGCAGCUCUAUUAGAAGGAAACUAUAAGAAAAUCCUGUAUGUAGUUCGGCUUUGCCUUUGUGGUACAGAUGCUAUUGAAUCAACCACUCAUGUUCUCCUGUACUGCCUCUUUUAUAUGACUAUAUGAACUCAUUUUAUCAACACAUUUUUAGUAAAAAUUCCAGGCAGAUACCUUCAAUACCUACUGUCAGACCAGAAUGAUUUAAUUUCUUCAAACACUGCAAAUUUUUAUUUUAUAGUUUGUAACAUUAUUCAACACUUUGUUAAUUUGUCUUAGUAAUUGUUUCAAUUUAAUGGCUUGUAAACCAAUCAUUUUAUUUUACUUAAUGGUUGUUGUGCUCUGUUAGUUGAUGACCAUAAUAAAGGACUGACCUAUUCAUUGA